CCUCCCAGCGGCCCCCGCGUCCGGGCGCCGCAGCCGGGACGCCGGGCCUGUCCCUUCCGGAGCGCGGCCGCUAACGUCGGCGCUGGCCGCGGUGGGCGAGCCGGAAACGGAUUGGCGUUCUGGCCUCCGGGUCAGGCUCCCCGGCGGAGGAAGCGGGCGGCGCCGCGGGCGGAGCCUUUGUGGCGAGGUGAUCGCGGGAACAGCGACCCCUUCAGGACCGUCGCGGCGCUGCCGCGGGGCGCGCCGGGAACUUGGCUCGCUCCGCCCGUGGGAAGGGCCGCGUCGCUGGGAGGAGCGCGCCGCAGAGUCGCAGCAGCGCGGCGCUGUUGUGGUUAGUCCCAGAGAACCAAGAGCAGACGACUCCGGCCCCUCUUUUUAUUUGGAGGAAAAAUAUGGAUGUUGGAACAUAGAAUUGCAGUAGCUGUGUCAUUAGAACCAGCAGCUCCCUGUCAUCUUGUACCCGCGCCCGCAGGUGUCGGAAGUGGCAGAAGAGGGUUGAGUUAGUGUCCCGCCCAGCCGGUUUUCAUCCAUUCAGCAUUAUCGAAUGUCUACCGUGUACCAGAGCUGAAUCGGGUGCUGGAGAUACUGUGCUUCAAAACACUGCCCUUGCCUUCAAGAUGCUCUCGGUUCUUUAACUUGACCACCUUAGGGGACUUCACCCUCAGCAGAAGCUCUGUAACCAUUUGCUGCCGCAAGGACUUUGUGACUGCCUUACAGGGUCAACCCUAGGCGCCCACUGUGUGCGAAGUACGAUGCCCAGGACACAGAGUGCCAAGCGGAGGUCACAAAGAAGUAGAAAAUGGUCACUGGAAUUAAAAUGCUUACAUUCCUGAAAUAAAUUCUUCGUUUGGUUGCAUGAAAUAGAAAGCACUCUAUGGAAGAAAGAAGAAUUAAAAUGAAAGCACAGGAAAGAGCAGAUGAAAAAGGCCCAUUUAAAAAACAAAACAAAAUAAGAAAAUGAAUAAAAGAAAUGGAGUCAGUGUGGCAGUAAAUUGUAUGGUUUAAAUUCUUCCAGAUGGAAGUAAUAAAAACACAGUGUUCAGGGACAGCUGUGAUGCAAGGGAAAAUGUUUUUGUUUUUGUUUUUGUUACCGUCUGUGAUGACUACUGUGUAUGUCAUUUUUCAAAUAACAUUGAAAGUUUUAAGUCCUUGAAUAACUUGGGAAAAUAUGCUACAAUUAAAAAUUUAUUUUGAUUGUUCUUAGAUUGAAAUAGAUUUGUAACUGGCUUUGGAGUCAGAUGAAUGGAAACCUGACCCUUGCUUUGAUCAUUUAAGAGUUAUGUGAUUCUUACUAAGAGUUUGCAGAUCUUUUUGGGUCUAGUUUUUCCUUUGUGAUACUGGAAUAAUUAUGGAUGUUUAAAUGAAAUAAUCUAUGAAAAGCACUUCUUACAAGACUCCUGGCACCUAA